rnacentral:rRNA from 1 species
AUGGGAGCUCCCAUGGCGCGCCUGCUCCUCCGCCUCGCUGUAGUGCUUGCUGCGCUGCUCGCCGCCGGGCAGGGGCAGCAGCUCUACUGCGAGCAGCCGUGCCCGCCGUGCCCGGGGUGCGCCGGCGAGACGGCGUGCCCUUCGCUGCCCAACUGCCCGGCCGAUCCGUGCACCGUGGUGAGCAGCGCAAACUCCAACAGCCAGCCCGCGCCUGACGAGGACGGCGGCGGUCCGCAUCAGAGGUUCCCUGCUUUCGGGAAAGCCAAGCAAGCGCAGCCCGGCAACACCUCCGACUCGGCCACGACCACCAUUGCGUGCUGCGUUUGUUCGUGCCACGAGGGCAGGGCCACACCCUGCCCUACGAUGAAUUGCUCUGCCGCAGCCCGGCCAUGCACCGGCAACGCCACCACCGCCCCGGCGACCAGCGACCACGGCGGCGGCGGACACCACCUCUCCGCCGGCGAGAUCUGCGCCAUGGUAGUCGCCGCGGCAGUACUCCUCUGGUCGCUGCACCCUCUCUUCUACUGCCUCACCGACCAGCUCAAUCGCCGCCGCCGCCGCCGUCACCGUCACCGUCACCGUCGCGUUCACCGUCGCCGAUCGCCGCCGCCGUCUUCGUCCUCCUCCUCGUCCUCGUCUGCGCCUUCAUCGCCGGAGCGGGUGGAAGACUUGGAGGUGCAGCCCGAGGUGGAGGUGGAGAUGGAGGAGCAUGUACCGGUGCCAGACGGUUUCUACGUCGUGGCGCCGCCCUUCCGCGUCUAG